AACCUCUCAGGUACUAGGAAGCAGCGGAUUCAACUGAAGCUCUGCAAUCUUCUCCGCAGAGUUAUAAAUGUAAACUUUAUAUUUCUGUCAUUUAAUUUUGGAUGUAUAAAUUAUUCUAUUAUCAGAAUAUUAUUGAACUCCGCAGUUAUAGGAUCGUGUAUUUCCAAUUGGGCCUUGCCGUAUGCGUUGUUUUAUAAACGGUUGGUUGUAUUAUUAGACACAGGAGAAUCAGUAUGCCCAUAUUAUGAACGUGAUUGAUAAUGACUAGGCCCAAACUAAAUUUUAUUGGAGAUAAUUAAAAUUGGGCCGGGUUGUAUAAUAUUUAUUUACAUUUAUAUCUUAACUUGUAUGGGCUUACUGUUUCUAUUAAAUGGUAUGGAAUGUAUAGUUGAGUAAUUAGGCUAACUACGGGCCUCGGGGGCCUUAUGCUUACCUGGGCCCUAGUGCCGGUCCGGCCCACGGAAACGGGUCGUGACA
rnacentral:lncRNA from 1 species